rnacentral:rRNA from 1 species
GACAGAGGGUGCAAACGUUGUUCGGAUUUACUGGGCGUAAAGCGCGUGUAGGCGGCUUUGCAAGUCGGAUGUGAAAGCCCACGGCUCAACCGUGGAACUGCUUGGUAUACUGGUUGUCUUGAGGCACUCAGGGGCGAGCGGAACAGAUGGUGGAGCGGUGAAAUGCGUAGAUAUCAUCUGGAACGCCAAUGGUGAAGACAGCUCGCUGGGGGUGUACUGACACUGAGACACGAAAGCCAGGGGAGCAAACGGG